UACUAGCCCUCCGGGUACUUCUUACCUUCCACAUCUACCCGCUCCUUCCAUCCUGAUCUCCAUCGGUAUCCUCUACUCCGGUUGCUGUACCUCGAUACCGGUUUUUAGACCCUGACCUCUUAGUCUUCGUGGUUUCUUAAACUAAACGGGGGCUCUUAGUGGUUUCUUAGUGUUAUAUGUCUAUAUAGAUUACUAAACUCUAUGUAUAAUAAACAGAAUUUAAACACAUCGAUGCCUGCUUAUGUAAGCCUGGUAGCGGGAUAUUAACGACAUGAUUUACCAGUUUCGCACAGUUCACUACCCCCGCCCUCAGGUGUCACAAAAGCCAAACUCCGUGCUACCGACGUUCUCCUCCCGACGGUCCUCCAGCACCUCCUCCGCACCUUAUCCCGGAAACCACUACCCCCUCCCAGCUGCUCCGCUGGCCAUCGGGUCGUCCCCGUCAGCUAGUAGAGUUUCCACUUACUCGAGUAUUUGGGGCAAUGGCUCUUGACCCUGCUCCGAGAGCACUCCCUCGAAAAGUGUGUCCUCCUGCGGUUCUAGUAAAAUCGCUAGGGAGAGUCUCGCCCCUACCUCCUAAAAGAGAGGACCGUGAUACUGUUUUCUCCCGAAAAGAGCCAGUUUAGCCGUAUGGUUGACCCCCACUCAGACUUUCUUUGUUUCUUCGUGGUCCUGCGCCUCCCCAGAUGGCCAGUCCACGUCCGAUCCCUCGUUACCGUUGUGUAGACCUUCGAACUAGACGGCCCCUUUCAAGCGUACAAGGACACCGCAAACCGCGUAUUGUCGGACGGUUGCUCUUACUUAUAAUUCGCCUUCGUACACCUCGAACUAUGAGACACAGGAUACACGGACUCCGAACUACUCCUACCCCCCGUAGAAAAGGAAUUUACAUUCUUCCACUUUCGACACACCUCCCUCGUCUUGGAACUCCUACAGGCCGACUACGAUUCACUAACGGUACUAAGGAUGGUCCACUAGUUCGUUUAUACAAGCGACGGUUGUCUAUUCUCCAACGCACACCGAUAAGAGGAGACCCUAACCACCUGUCGUUCCUUAUUUUGGUUGCGGCCGCUUUUCGUCCCCUGACGUGUCCUCCAAUCACCCAAAUAAUGAUCCGUGAACGUUCUAAAAACAUCGCACGUCGUCGUCUCGUAGGGAGGCAGUCACUGUCUGGUUGCUACCCACGGUGGACUUGGACCUCACCAAUUUAAAUUGUACCUGCGUCGCAAGGUAGUUCUCCGACUCCGACCUCGUACCCCAAAGUAACGAUCCCUGCUCUACCCGUUAAAAUAGCGUCGCCGCCGACCGUUCAACCUCGUGUAGUCCUCGGGGGAGGUUCGACUCGAGUCACGCACGUACUACCGUUAACUACCCCGACGACAAAACCCCCGAGUCGCACAGCAAAAACUCAGACUAACGGAUUGUUACUAAUUACGAGAUUUACCCGCCCUCAUACUACGACGUCUCGACCCGCAGGAGAAGUCUCUUCGAUCUUCAAAUACGGCCGAAAGGAAACUCAGAAUACUAAAGUCCAAAACAGCAUCCCCGACAUUAAAUUAACGCGUGUUAGACCGCGUCAAACCGGAUCCCCGACAACAAAGGGAUAGACACACCCUACAUCUUCGGGGUCUGAAACAAAGCCGAGACCAACCGUGGCUCUACCACUUGGUCCGUUGGGCGCGAGAUAUGACGAGGAACAAGCAGUUUCAACUCUGUCUAUCUCCUACGCCAUCCCCUCCGGCCCUUCCCACGACGACCGGCGUGCCGAGCAGGUACACCGACGAGCCGCUGCAGCUCGCACACCGCCCCGACCUCCUCAACCCAGCUCGUCUGGCGAACUUGCCGCGACGACGACGAGCAAACCUCACGUGCCCGGCACAACCGAAGAAGCUCUCCGAGACCCUGCGGCCACCGCGUCCGCGGUGCCCAGAGCGGCGCUACAAGCCCGUCGCCCGGGCCGAAGCCUACACGUGGCUGCCAGUUAAGUCCCGGCGCCUCUCCUCGCCGCCGUUCCAGUCGCGGCGCAGAGACAGGUUAGAGGGAGAAGAGAGGCAGCUGUCCUUGGCCUCUUUCCGCGGCGGUAACCGCUGGUACCUCGAGUCACGGGGCGGAAGGAGGUGGAGCGGAGACUGGGGGAGACGUGGCCUAGGUGGAUCGGUUCUGGAGACACCGAGACAGCGCAGCAGGGGCUCCCGCGACGAACGUCCAUCGGGCGGUUGUUCGAGGCCGUGGUCGGGAGGAGCCAGUGGAGGUGCCAACGGGAGUGGCAGCACCACU
rnacentral:rRNA from 1 species